rnacentral:rRNA from 1 species
GUGUGGCGACGAAGCUCGGGUCGUAAAGCCCUGUGUUGGGACGAAGGGCAAAGGGUUAUAGCCCCUAGCUUGACGGUACCUUCGAGGAAGCCCGGGCUAACUACGUGCCAGCAGCCGCGGUAAUACGUAGGGGGCGAGCGUGUCCGGGAAUUAUUGGGCGUAAAGAGCGUGUAGGCGGCUUGGUAAGUCUGCCGUGAAACCCCGGGGCUCAACCCCGGGCGUGCGGUGGAUACUGCCAGGCUAGAGGAUGGUAGAGGCGAGUGGAAUUCCCGGUGUAGCGGUGAAAUGCGCAGAUAUCGGGAGGAACACCAGUAGCGAAGGCGGCUCGCUGGGCCAUUCCUGACGCUGAGACGCGAAAGCUAGGGGAGCGAACAGGAUUAGAUACCCUGGUAGUCCUAGCCGUAAACGAUGAACACUAGGUGUGGGGGGAGUCGAAUCCCUCCGUGCCGCAGCUAACGCGAUAAGUGUUCCGCCUGGGGAGUACGGCCGCAAGGCUAAAACUCAAAAGAAUUGACGGGGGCCCGCACAAGCAGCGGAGCAUGUUCUUUAAUUCGAUGCAACGCGAAGAACCUUACCUGGGCUUGACAUGGUGCUGCAAGCGCACGGAAACGUGUGACCUUCGAGGGUGCACCACAGAUGCUGCAUGGCUGUCGUCAGCUCGUGUCGUGAGAUGUUGGGUUAAGUCCCGCAACGAGCGCAACCCCCGUGGCGUGUUGCCAGCAUUAAGUUGGGGACUCACGCCAGACUGCCGGUGACAAACCGGAGGAAGGUGGGGAUGAUGUCAAGUCAUCAUGGCUCUUACGCUCAGGGCUAGAAACGUGCUACAAUGGCGCAUACAAAGGGCAGCAAGACCGCAAGGUGGAGCGAAUCUCAUCAAAAUGCGUCUAAGUUCGGAUCGGGGUCUGCAACUCGACCCCGUGAAGGCGGAGUUGCUAGUAAUCGCGGAUCAGCAUGCCGCGGUGAAUACGUUCCCGGG